GACGAACGCUGGCGGCGUGCCUAAUACAUGCAAGUCGAACGCAUUUUCUUUCACCGUAGCUUGCUACACCGAAAGAAAAUGAGUGGCGAACGGGUGAGUAACACGUGGGUAACCUGCCCAUCAGCGGGGGAUAACACUUGGAAACAGGUGCUAAUACCGCAUAAUUCCAUUUACCGCAUGGUAGAUGGAUGAAAGGCGCUUUUGCGUCACUGAUGGAUGGACCCGCGGUGCAUUAGCUAGUUGGUGGGGUAACGGCCUACCAAGGCUGCGAUGCAUAGCCGACCUGAGAGGGUGAUCGGCCACACUGGGACUGAGACACGGCCCAGACUCCUACGGGAGGCAGCAGUAGGGAAUCUUCGGCAAUGGACGCAAGUCUGACCGAGCAACGCCGCGUGAGUGAAGAAGGUUUUCGGAUCGUAAAACUCUGUUGUUAGAGAAGAACAAGGAUGAGAGUGGAAAGUUCAUCCCUGACGGUAUCUAACCAGAAUGCMCCG
rnacentral:rRNA from 1 species